rnacentral:rRNA from 1 species
UACGUAGGGUGCAAGCGUUGUCCGGAAUUAUUGGGCGUAAAGAGCUCGUAGGCGGUCUGUUGCGUCCGCUGUGAAAACUCGGGGCUUAACCCCGAGCCUGCAGUGGAUACGGGCAGACUAGAGGUAGGUAGGGGAGAAUGGAAUUCCCGGUGUAGCGGUGAAAUGCGCAGAUAUCAGGAAGAACACCAAUGGCGAAAGCAGCUUUCUGGGACGGUACUGACGCUGAGACGCGAAAGCGUGGGGAGCGAUCAGG